rnacentral:rRNA from 1 species
AUUGAACGCUGGCGGCAUGCCUUACACAUGCAAGUCGAACGGCAGCACGGGAGCAAUCCUGGUGGCGAGUGGCGAACGGGUGAGUAAUAUAUCGGAACGUGCCCAGUCUGGGGGAUAACGUAGCGAAAGCUACGCUAAUACCGCAUACGAUCUAUGGAUGAAAGCGGGGGGAUCGCAAGACCUCGCGCGAUUGGAGCGGCCGAUAUCAGAUUAGGUAGUUGGUGAGGUAAAGGCUCACCAAGCCGACGAUCUGUAGCUGGUCUGAGAGGACGACCAGCCACACUGGGACUGAGACACGGCCCAGACUCCUACGGGAGGCAGCAGUGGGGAAUUUUUGGACAAUGGGCGCAAGCCUGAUCCAGCAAUGCCGCGUGCAGGAUGGAAGGCCUUCGGUUGUAAC